GAUGAACGCUGGCGGCGUGCCUAAUACAUGCAAGUCGAGCGAACAGACGAGGAGCUUGCUCCUCUGACGUUAGCGGCGGACGGGUGAGUAACACGUGGAUAACCUACCUAUAAGACUGGGAUAACUUCGGGAAACCGGAGCUAAUACCGGAUAAUAUAUUGAACCGCAUGGUUCAAUAGUGAAAGACGGUUUUGCUGUCUCUUCUCGAUGGAUCCGCGCCGCAUUAGCUAGUUGGUAAGGUAACGGCUUACCAAGGCUACGAUGCGUAGCCGACCUGAGAGGGUGAUCGGCCACACUGGAACUGAGACACGGUCCAGACUCCUACGGGAGGCAGCAGUAGGGAAUCUUCCGCAGUGGGCGAAAGCUUGACGGAGCAACGCCGCGUGAGUGAUGAAGGUCUUCGGAUCGUAAAACUCUGUUAUUAGGGAAGAACAACUGUGUAAGUAACUAUGCACGUCUUGACGGUACCUAAUCAGAAAGCCACGGCUAACUACGUG
rnacentral:rRNA from 1 species